UAUUUCCCUCCCUCACCCGAUUCCCUCACCAGAAAAACUUCAACCGGCGAGGUCGACGAUUUCACCGGUACCGUCAGCAUCGCCGACAUCGUCAACGGUAUCGUCAGCAUUGCCGACAUCGUCAACGGUAUCGUCAGCGUCGACGAUUUCAUCGGCGAGCUCACCGACCCAGGAACCGCCGUCGCUUGAGCUCGCUGACCCAGGUAUCGACGUCGCCGUCGCCUUUCGCCUGACCGUUCACCUUCCACCUGACCAUUCGCCUCCCACCUGACCGUUUGCCUUCCACCUCUCGCCGUUGAUCUCGCCUUUCGCUUGACCGUUCACCUUCCACCUGACCGUUCGCCUUCCACCUCUCGACGUCGAUCUCGCCUUUCGCUUGACCGUUCGCCUCCCACAAGCAAUGGAAGUAAUGGUGGCUUCCUCUUCCAUCGACGGCGGCAUCGGCUGCUGGGACGUCCAUACCGGCGCGGAGCAACUCCGUUACAAGACUUGCGUCUCUCCGCCUCAUGGCCUCGCUUGCGUUGGCCAACGCUUCCUCGCCUCUUCUCAGCUCCGUGAUCCCUCCGCCAACUCUGGCUACAUCCUCUACUGGUCCUAGUCCAAGCCUCAAGUAGAAGUUAAGAGCUUUCCUUCGGAACCAUUACAGCCAAUCGCUGCUAACCGCGAAGGCACAUACAUUGUUGGUGGAGGCGUAUCUGGUGAUAUUUACUUGUGGGAGGUUGCCACUGGAAGACGUCGUCGCUAAAGGCGACUCCUCCUCUGUCGUUAAGUUGCAGAGCGCCAUCAAGUUCAAUGGCGGAGGUCAUAUCAACCACUCAAUUUUCUGGUAGAAUCUAACUCCUGUUUCUGAAGGAGGUGGUGAGCCCCCGCAUGGUUCCUUAGGUUGAAGCUGAAGAUAUCUGAAGCUUAAAACUAUUGUAGGUUCCUUACUUCGUUUUCUUCAAGGCUAAAUACAUAUUGUUUACAAUAACUUUGGAUUUUUUCUGAAAGUUGUAAGAUUAGCUUGAGCAAAAUGAGGUCCAAGAUGAGCGAGCUAAGGACCAAGAGCACGAACUAAGCAAGAUGAGGUCCAAAAGAAUAUUCUUAACUUUCUGGAGAGCAAAGGUUAUGAUGAUGCUCUUACUUAUGGGGAUGGUUCAACUUCAAGUUAAAACACUUUUUGAUUUCUUAUUGGUAGCUUUUAGAGGAUUUACUCUUGGCAUUACUUGAAGACAUAUGAGGACAUCUUCUGUUAGGUCUAAAAUAGGGUUUAGGUAGAGUUAUUGUAUGUAUUGCAAACAAUUAUUGUAUGGAAGUAGUUUGAAUUGGAUACUUGUUUUAUUUUUUACUUGUGGAAUGU